rnacentral:rRNA from 1 species
UACGUAGGGUGCAAGCGUUAAUCGGGAUUACUGGGUGUAAAGCGUGCGCAGGCGGUUCGGAAAGAGAGGUGUGAAAUCCCAGGGCUUAACCUUGGAACUGCACUUCUAACUACCGGGCUAGAGUACGUCAGAGGGGGGUAGAAUUCCACGUGUAGCAGUGAAAUGCGUAGAGAUGUGGAGGAAUACCGAUGGCGAAGGCAGCCCCCUGGGAUGAUACUGACGCUCAUGCACGAAAGCGUGGGGAGCAAACAGG